GAUCAUCUGCUGUGGGUGUUCCUGAUCUUUGAGCCAUGAUAAUGUUACUGGUUGGAUGUCAGGAGCAGGCCAUGUGGAUGAUUAAAAGAUGAAUAUCAUAUACAGCAUGGAUAUGUUGGACAAAAAGAUGAUUCACAUCCCAGACAGAAUGGAGCAGCACAUUUAUUAAAAGCCAGAAGCUAGAAGACGAGGAAAGAAGAGGUGGUUAAAGAAAGAUACAGUAACAGCAGUAAUAUCUAACAGGAAGGCUACAGGGGAAAAUACAGAAAUUCCAUAAAGAACAAACACUGUAACUCAAAACCAAAGCUUUGCUAGUCACUAGUGCCCGCUACAUCCUAACAGAUGCAGCUGGAGAGCCUGGGGUGAGAACAUGAGCAGUCUAUAAUCAGAAAAUCCCUUUGGGAUAAAUUGACAAAAAUAUAAACCACUCCACAAAGGAGAAAUUGUAAAUGAGUUGUUAUGUAAAACCUCCCAGCGAAAGAAAUAGUCCAGAAAGCUUGAAGAGAAACUGAAAUUUGAAAAAUCUACCUAAAAAGGUGAUAAAGGAUUUUCAGUUUUGCAAAAAACGCAAUACAGAGUGUCUUUGGAAAGAAAGUUCUCAUAUGGAUUUAAAAUAUGAUUCAAUUUACAGAAGUCAGAGUUGUUCUUCCAGAUGGCAUGAAUCCAACAGUGAAGAAAUCAGAAUACGUUGCUUUUGUGAGGGGCAGCUGCUGAUUUUCUCUGAGCUCCGUUUCCAGCCUUCACAUGCUCUGCUAUUCAUCACAGGGUAAAUUCUGACUAUAGGAGGUACUGACAGAAGAUUAGGGAAGAACAGAGGGCUAAAUGUUUAUUGACUUCUUGAAAAAUGCUAUGUGUCUUGCCAGACUUAGCUUACAAGUUUGGUUAAAGAGAGACUGACAUGAGCAUAAAGGAAGGGACAUUGAAAGAGGCAGAGAUGAAGGAAGAAAUUGUAACUUACUCCUUUUAUCCCACCCAUCAAAGGAAAGACAAGUUGACAAGUAUUGAUUCUGCAACAAACUGAGAAGAAACCUGGCGAUUCACAACAGAGAGCUGAGAAAUCCUAAGUCUGGAUUCCAGCUAAAUGGGAGCAGACUAAAUAGAGCGGCAGUCGGCGAACUACAUGUAGCCCAUGAACAAAAUCCGGUCCAGCACGUGUGUUUUUUUUUACGGCCCACAAAUGAGUCUGUCUUUACAGAUGAAUGUUAAAACUGGGUUGACAAGAGAGAACACUCACUUUGAACCGCAACUAAACAAAAUAUUAUCACCUUUCCCCUCAAAAAAGACUGUCAGAUCAUUAGGAACCAGCAUGAUGACUAUAAGUAUACAGCAAUUGAGUAUCGUAAGAAUGCUUUCAUUUUAAACAUGUAAUUUGUUUGGUUAUAUUAUGA
rnacentral:lncRNA from 1 species